GGCCGCAAGGUUAAAACUCAAAUGAAUUGACGGGGGCCCGCACAAGCGGUGGAGCAUGUGGUUUAAUUCGAUGCAACGCGAAGAACCUUACCUGGUCUUGACAUCCACAGAACUUUCCAGAGAUGGACUGGUGCCUUCGGGAACUGUGAGACAGGUGCUGCAUGGCUGUCGUCAGCUCGUGUUGUGAAAUGUUGGGUUAAGUCCCGCAACGAGCGCAACCCUUAUCCUUUGUUGCCAGCGGUCCGGCCGGGAACUCAAAGGAGACUGCCAGUGAUAAACUGGAGGAAGGUGGGGAUGACGUCAAGUCAUCAUGGCCCUUACGACCAGGGCUACACACGUGCUACAAUGGCGCAUACAAAGAGAAGCGACCUCGC
rnacentral:rRNA from 2 species